rnacentral:rRNA from 1 species
CCUACGGGAGGCUGCAGUGGGGAAUAUUGGACAAUGGGGGGAACCCUGAUCCAGCCAUGCCGCGUGUGUGAAGAAGGCCCUCGGGUUGUAAAGCACUUUCAGUGAGGAAGAACGCCUGGUGGUUAAUACCCAUCAGGAAAGACAUCACUCACAGAAGAAGCACCGGCUAACUCCGUGCCAGCAGCCGCGGUAAUACGGAGGGUGCGAGCGUUAAUCGGAAUUACUGGGCGUAAAGCGCGCGUAGGUGGCUUGAUAAGCCGGUUGUGAAAGCCCCGGGCUCAACCUGGGAACGGCAUCCGGAACUGUCAAGGUAGAGUGCAGGAGAGGAAGGUAGAAUUCCCGGUGUAGCGGUGAAAUGCGUAGAGAUCGGGAGGAAUACCAGUGGCGAAGGCGGCCUUCUGGACUGACACUGACACUGAGGUGCGAAAGCGUGGGUAGCAAACAGGAUUAGAUACCCGUGUAGUC